rnacentral:rRNA from 1 species
UACGAAGGGGGCUAGCGUUGUUCGGAUUUACUGGGCGUAAAGCGCGUGUAGGCGGGUCGUUAAGUUGGGGGUGAAAUCCCGAGGCUCAACCUCGGAACUGCCUUCAAAACUGGCGGCCUGGACCCAAGUAGAGGCAAGUGGAAUUGCGAGUGUAGAGGUGAAAUUCGUAGAUAUUCGCAGGAACACCAGUGGCGAAGGCGACUUGCUGGACUUGUGGUGACGCUGAGACGCGAAAGCGUGGGGAGCAAACAGG